rnacentral:lncRNA from 1 species
CAUUGCUGUGGCUGUGGUGUAGGCCGGCAGCUACAGCUCUGAUUCGACCCCAGCCUGGGAACUUCCAUAUGCUGCAGGUGCAGCCCUAAAAAGAAAAAAAAAAUCCUGGGUUUGUAAUGGGCUCUUGCUGACCUCCUAUGAAGGUUCAGGUGUGAUGCUAUUUCACUAACCCACCAAGUCUUGCAGGAGUCCUCAAGAUUUUUCAAUGUGACUGUUACAUGUUAGGGUAAUUCAGGGACCCCAAAGAUCCUUCAAUUAGGCCUUAGGAUUCUAGGCAGGCCAUGUGUCCUGGUGGCCGGCCCUGCCAAGCAAUGAUGAGCAGGCAGCAACACUGAACCCUGGAAGACAUCUGAUGGAGCUCAGGUUGGGCUCGGGCCCUGACCCUCUUCCAGAGCGCCCUGGGAAACCCUCAUGCCCAGGCCGUGCUUCGUCUUAGGGUAAAAGCCUCGUCUUAGGGUUUGCCAACUGCAUGCUUUCUCCACCUGGUCCCCGGUAUGGGUCCUAGACUUGACACACUGUGACACCUCCAAGAGGGGAGGGGAGCAGCAGGAGUGAUGGAUAAGAAGGUCCUGCCUGGGCCAGGCUGUGUGGACCCGGGCCAUGGCGGGAGCGGGCUUCGAGAUGUAGGGGUGGGCUCUUAGGUGUAGAAUGCGCCCUGUGCUUGGACCCAGACUGGAACCCGUGACUCAAGAUCCUCUUCUCCCUGAAGUCCUGUCUUGCUGAGACUCUGGAGUGAGCAGGCGUUUGUUCAGAUGUGCAGUCAUGAUAGGAAGAUCCGGUCACUUGAUGCCAGGAGGGUGAGGGGUGCAGGGGAGAGGGGGCCAGAGCAGCAGAGGACAGCCAUAGAGGUGAUGAAGGACGAGAGGGGGGGUCCUGGGUUCCCACGUGGGGGCUGUGCCCUCGACCUCCGGCCUCUUUUCUGGGACCUGCGUGGAGGAGGGUCCAGGAAGGGGCAGAGCCAGUGAUUCUCGACACCAGUCCCUUCAGAAAAGGUGGCUGCUCACUUACGCUUAAAAUUCCUUUGAGGGGAGACCACAUUUUUUUUUUCUGCUUUGAGGAAUUGGGCUGAAAAUACAACCCUGCCCUGGGAGCAGAAGUUACAGUCAUCAUCGGAAACAAAGGCCUCGUUUUAGGUCCAGGGCAGCAGCGGGCCACGUCCCACCCACCGCCGGGUUUUGUGUCCCGGAGCCUGGAACUGUUUCUCAAUUUCAAAAUGGUUGGAAAAGAAAUCAAAAGGGCAGCAUUUCACAAUGUGGAAAUUAUGAGGUUCUUUUCAGUGUCCGAGGACGACGCCUCACUGGGGUGCGGCCACGCUCGUGGGCUCCCGUGUGUGCAGGGACAGAGCGGAGCGGUCGUGGCAGGGACUGUACGUGGCACUCUUCUGCCUCACACCCCACCUCCGCCCGCUGCACAGCGCAGGGGUGCGGCGCUGAUGCGAAGGCAGUCUGAGUGCCAGGUGCAUCGCCAAAACAUGACCUUUUUAAAAAUGUUUGUUUGUUUGUUUGUUUUUGUCUUUUUGCCUUUUUUCCAGGGCUGCCCCCGCUGCACAUGGAAGUUCCCAGGCUAGGGGUUGAAUCAGAGCUGUAGCCACAGCCACAGCAACGCAGGAUCCGAGCCGCGUCUGCAACCUACACCACAACUCACGGCAAUGCAAGAUCCUUAACCCACUGAGCAAGGCCAGGGACCGAACCCGCAACCUCAUGGUUCUGAGUUGGAUUCGUUAACCACUGAGCCACGACGGGAGCACCAGAGAAUAUUUUCAAAGUUGAGAAAACACUAAGUCAUACAACCUGAAGAGGCUCUGUGAAGAUGUGCAGAUUGUGUGAUGGUGAUAAAAAUGCAGGCGGAAAAGAGAAAGGCUCUGUCGGGUAAAUCUAUAGUCGGUCCUACACACCCACAGGUUCUGCAUCCACAGAUUCCACCAACUACAGAUGGGAAAUACCUGAAAAAAAAAAACCUCCAGAAAAUUGCCAAAAACAAAACUUGACUUUGCCAUGCACUGGAACUGUUUACAUAGCAUUUAUAUUGUAGUUAUAACUAUCGACAUAGAUUUUUACAUCGCAGUAGGUAUUACAAGUAAU